UACGGAGGGUGCAAGCGUUAUCCGGAUUCACUGGGUUUAAAGGGUGCGUAGGCGGGCAGGUAAGUCAGAGGUGAAAUCCCCGAGCUUAACUCGGGAACUGCCGUUGAUACUAUCUGUCUUGAAUACCGUGGAGGUGAGCGGAAUAUGUCAUGUAGCGGUGAAAUGCUUAGAUAUGACAUAGAACACCAAUUGCGAAGGCAGCUCGCUACACGAAUAUUGACUCUGAGGCACGAAAGCGUGGGGAUCAAACAGG
rnacentral:rRNA from 1 species